CACCUGUUCGUCUCAAGUAUUUAACUCCUAGUCUAGAAUAGAUAAGGUAUCUAAUGCGAGGUUCAUAUUUGCCACAGGUGUUGCAUUGUACGAGUGGUUUAGUGUCAUAGUCGGACCAUGCUCCGGCACUCCUAAAACUAAUUUUUUGUUUAUUUUAUUGUACUUUGAAGCAAAUAUGCACUAUAUUUGUUUUUGUCUUUCACAUAUACUAUGGAGAAGGCACUGCACAUCCUAAAGCAGGGAUUGUACUGCUCAAACAGACCUCAUUGGAGAUAUUUAAUAGCUCUAUUUUAUGUAAGUGUAUCUCUUUUUCCCUCCAUAUCCACUAUGUAGAAUAUACUGCACUAUAUUAUCCAUUGUCCUACUUCUCGUUGCAUCUAUAACCUGAGGUCACCUCAACUCCUUCCCACCAUUUUCUCCUGUUUCUUCUGAAAAAGAGAGACUUCGGCUUGAGUUGUCC